GUCUUCUGCCAUACCACCCUGAAAAUACCUGGUAUCCUCUGAUCUCUGAAACUACUGGUAAGCAGGUUCCUUCCUGGUUAGUACUUGGAUGGGGGACUGCCUGGGAAUAUCAGGUGCUGGAAGCU
ensembl:rRNA 5S_rRNA 5S ribosomal RNA